UGAAAUUUAAUUUACAGUGAAAUGUGGAUCUCCAAAUGACAAAAAUGAACGAAGGCUGCAAACCUAUAGUUUUUAAGGAAGUAAAACCAAUUGUAGCCUUCGACGAUAUCAACUAUCUACAGCUUAUACUAAGGCUGAAAUGGGUGAAAAGGAGGGUGGUGAGAUUAUAAAAUCCCAAUAAGUAAACAGACAUCAUCAUAAACAUUUAGAGUUAAGUACAUGGAGACGAUAAAGUAAAUCAUCGUAAACUGGCUCACGGCAUUAGAAUACAUUUCAUUCAUAAUACGUAACGAGGCUUAUGAAUCUCAUAAAAACAAGGCUUGUG
rnacentral:lncRNA from 1 species